rnacentral:rRNA from 1 species
GGUCCGUACACCUACGGGUGGCAGCAGUCGAGAAUAUUCGACAAUGGGCGAAAGCCUGAUCGAGCGACGCCGCGUGCAGGAAGAAGGUCUUCGGAUUGUAAACUGCUUUUCAUAGGGAGGAAGGCCACGUUUACGUGGUUUGACGUUACCUAUGGAAUAAGGGGUUGCUAACUCUGUGCCAGCAGCAGCGGUAAUACAGAGACCCCAAGCGUUAUCCGGAUUUAUUGGGCGUAAAGGGUGCGUAGGGGGUCAUGUGCGUCUAUUGUCAAACCUCACCGCUUAACGGUGAGCUUGCGGUGGAUACGGCAUGACUUGAGGAUGCGAGAGGUGUGUAGAACGCACGGUGUAGGGGUGAAAUCCGUUGAUAUCGUGCGGAAUACCAGAGGCGAAGGCGGCACACUGGCGCAUUCCUGACCCUGAGGCACGAAAGCGUGGGGAGCAAAAAGGAUUAGAUACCCUUGUAGUCCACGCCCUAAACGAUGCCGGCUAGCUGUUUCGAGUAUCGACCCUCGAAGUGGCGUAGCUAACGCGUUAAGCCGGCCGCCUGGGAAGUACGAGCGCAAGCUUAAAACUCAAAGGAAUAGACGGAGACUCGCACAAGUGGUGGAGCAUGAGGUUUAAUUCGAUACAGAACGAAGAACCUUACCAGGGUUAGAAAUCUUAGUGGAAAGCUGACCGAAAGGUUGGCCCUCUCUCAAGGACCACUAGGACAGGUGAUGCAUGGUUGUCGUCAGCUCGUGUCUUGAGAUGUUCCCUUAAGUGGGGUAACGAGCGCAACCCGUGUCCUGUGUUAUAUGUGUCACAGGAGACUACCUCGUUUUUCGAGGAGGAAGCGCGGACGACGUCAAAUCAGCAUGUCCCUCCGAUAUCCUGGGCCACACUCAUGCUACAAUGGUCACAACAGAGGGUUGCCAAACCGUAAGGUGGAGCUAAUCCCUAAAAAGUGGCCUCAGUUCAGAUUGAGGGCUGAAAUUCGCCCUCAUGAAGCCGGAAUCACUAGUAAUCGCAGGUCAGCUAUACUGCGGUGAAUACGUUCUCGAGUCUUGUACUCAC